UUCACCGAUUUUCUCACCCCUUAUCACCUUUUUAAUUAAUUUACAGGUAUGUGUUACAAUAUUAAAGAAAAAAAACUCAAGUGCAAUCAGAAGAUCACUACACUAAGGUUAUAUUAUUUUUGCAUUUUAGUACUAAUAGAAAUGAUUAAAACAUGUAUAAAAAAUGCACGUUUUCACAUGUUAUGGACUAAAGAGGAACUUGCAAGUUUAAUUGAAAAUAAUAACGAUGGAUAUAGUCAAAAGAAGGACAAGUCGAACGAUAAACCAGAUAUUAUUAAUAAAAAGGUAGACUGUGUUGAGCAAAAAGUUAUAAAAAAAGAAAGCGUACAUGAUACAAUAAAUUAUCUUAAAAAUUUUAUGUUUAAAAAAAAUACAAACAACAUCGACGCAAGUAACGAAAAUAGCCAAAAUGAUGAAAACAACGAGAAUGACGGAGAUAAAAAUGACGUAGAUAAAAAUGACGUAGAUAAAAAUGAUGGUGAUAAAAAUGAUGGUGAUAAAAAUGACGGAGAUAAAAAUGACGGUGAUAAAAAUGACGAUAAUAAAAAUGACGGAGAUAAAAAUGACGAUGAUAAAAAUGACGAUGAUAAAAAUGACGAUGAUAAAAAUGACGGAGAUAAAAAUUACGAAAAUAACGGUGAUGAAAUAAACGAAACUACACUUAAGGAAAAUGCAGAAGGAACACAAGAGAAGCAAGUUUCUGAUAAAGAUAAGGAUGAUAAAGAUAAGGAUGAUAAAGAUAAGGCGGAUAAAGAUAAGGCGGAUAAAGAUAAGGUGGAUAAAGAUAAGGCGGAUGUAGAUGGAGCCAGUUGCUUGGAUAAUAAUUCUGUUCGAACUUCCAAAGAGAAGUCAUGUGUUGACGUCGUUGAUGAUGGAGUAAACCAAAACGAAAAAAAAUUCGAUGAAGUAAAAAAUGAUGAAGACAUAAAUGAAUACAUUUUAAGUGUGUUCAAAAAUGAUAAUGAUAAUAAUAAUGGUGAUAAUUUUAUAAAAUCAAAAAAUGGAGUAAACAUAAUAGAUAUAGUAAACACAACAAUAAAUAGUAACGAAAAUAGUGACGGAAAAAGUGACGGAAAUAGUAACGAAAAUAAUAACGAAAAAAUGGAUCAUUUACGUAUAAAUAUAACAAGUUUUCCAUUAAUAUAUGACUUAAAUAUUAAUAAAAUUAUGGAACUGCUUUUUUUUAAGAAAGUAAAAGAAAAUAAUGAAGAAGCAAAGGAUAGUGACAAAAAAGAGAAAGAGGAAGAGAAUGACUGUAAUAAUACAAAAUUAAAUUUAAAAAAAAUAAAUUUAAAAAAAAUAAAUUUAAAAAAAAUAAAUUUAAAAAAAUUAAAUUUAAAAAAACUAAAUUUAAGUAAAGAUUAUUGUCCUAUUAUCUAUGGCAACCAUUUUGUGUAUAACGACUUUUUAAAAAAUUGUAAAUUGUACACAUAUAUAUUAAAAAGAAAAGAAAAACUAACGUUACCUGAAGAGUUAAUAAAAUUAUUACCACAAAUAUGUGGAGAAUAUAACAUCGAUAGCUAUAAUUUUUUAAAAAAUAAAUAUUAUUCUAUUUUUAAAAAUGAAUUAAAUAAAAGUUAUAAAGAUAUAAAACAUAAAAUUAAUCAUAUUAAUCAUAUGAGAUAUCAGUUAUAUUUAAAUAAAUUAAAAAAAAUUGAAAAAUUAAAUAAAACAAUAAAACCUUAUUUAUCAUAUUAUAGUUAUCAAAAUAAAUUAAAUACAUUCAUAAAAAAAAAACAGAUCAAGAUCAUUUAUUUUGGACAUCUAUAUUUAAUCCUAGAUUUUAUUUUCAAAUUAAUAAUACUAAUUUAUUAUAUAAUUUUGAAUAUUUUAUAUUUUUAACUAAAUUUCAAAAUUAUACAAUUGAUAAUGUGAGCAAGUUAUAUAUAAAAUUUAAUUUUACAAAUACUUAUAGAAAAGUAUAUAAUAAUUAUGAAUAUAAUAAAACAUUCUUACCAUCAUCA
rnacentral:lncRNA from 1 species